GGUGCGAGCGUUAAUCGGAAUUACUGGGCGUAAAGCGUGCGCAGGCGGGUCGCUGUGUCCUGUGUGGAAGCCCCGGGCUUAACCUGGGAAUGGCAUGGGAACCUGGCGGGCUGGAGUGUGGCAGAGGGGGGUGGAAUUCCGCGUGUAGCAGUGAAAUGCGUAGAGAUGCGGAGGAACACCGAUGGCGAAGGCAGCCCCCUGGGCUAACACUGACGCUCAGGCACGAAAGCGUGGGGAGCAAACAGG
rnacentral:rRNA from 1 species